rnacentral:rRNA from 1 species
UACGUAGGGUGCGAGCGUUAAUCGGAAUUACUGGGCGUAAAGCGUGCGCAGGCGGUUCGCCAAGUCAGGUGUGAAAUCCCCGGGCUUAACCUGGGAAUUGCGCUUGAAACUAGCGGGCUUGAGUGUGGCAGAGGGGGGUGGGAAUUCCACGUGUAGCAGUGAAAUGCGUAGAGAUGUGGAGGAACACCGAUGGCGAAGGCAGCCCCUGGGUCAACACUGACGCUCAUGCACGAAAGCGUGGG